rnacentral:lncRNA from 1 species
GGAUUGCCUUUUCUGGUAAACGGGGGGAGACUUAUCAGUUUAACCUUUUGUUUUUUGUCUUUUGUUUUGUUUUGGGGUAGCUGGGAGUGUCCAAGGAAUAUCACACGUGUCCCACCUGGGAGGGGGCGGGGUGCUAGCUUGGGUUUUGCCCUCAGCCUGCCUCACGCUCCCUCAUCAGCCACACGAUUGGAUACUAUUCCACCAUAAAAAGGAAUGAAGUGCAGAUAUGUGCUGUGCCAUAGAUGAACCUUGAAAACAUGCCGAGGGAAAGAAGCCAAUCCCAAAAUACUUCAUAUUGCUGAUUCCAUUUACACGGAGUGUCCAGGUAAACCCAUAGAGGUGGCAAGUAAAUCAGUGGCUGCCUAAGGCCUGGGGGAGGUUGGGGAUGAUACGUAGUGACCGAAUGGGCACGAGAGAUCUUGUGGGAGAAGGAAUGGUCUAAAACUCGAGUGACGAUGGUUGCACAAAUACAAAUUUGCCAAAAAUCAUUGACUUGUGCAUUUAAAAUCAGUGAAUUUUAUAGGAUUUAAACGCUAUGUCAAUGAAGCUGUUAAAAACAAAAACAAGCCCUGAAGCCACCGGCCCUGAACAAAGUCCUGCGGUUGUGGCAAAAUGGAUGAUCAGAGGCCUUGCUAAUUCCAGUUCGUUUUUUUCCUCUGCUAAUUGCUUGUGAUAACCUAGAUUCCGUCCUGAUCUGUGAAAUCGGCCUGGGACAGCCUCAGCUGCUGAAGCUGUUACUUUUAAGAAAACCCAUCCUCCCCCCGCCUCUUGGCCUCGUGAGAACCACACAAACCCCACACCUAUUCAGCCAAGACAGCUGAACUUCCAGCGUAACGUGUAAGGGACAAAGUGCGCGGCCCCAGCUUGGCAGCGCUUUGUCUCAAACCUUGGUUUUGGUUUUUGCUUUCAGUAGGAGCCGGCAGUCCGCGAGUGGUCUGUGAUAAAGCUCCAUCUAUCCCUUCCCUCCAGAAUGGUUAUUUUCCCCUACUACUCAUCCAGCCAGGCAGUCUGUGGUGUCAUCGUAUUCUGCCACUGAGCUAUCAGUGAUACUAUGGUGCAGACCUUGCAAAUGCUUAAUGUAGCCAUUCGCUGUGCAGUAUAGUAGAAAUUCGUGGAUAUGGUAGAGGACUGGGGAGAAACUAUUUUUUAAACAGAGACAAAUACCAGAACAUCUGCAGCCCUCCACCAGGAGACCCUGCUUCCCUUUCUUCUUUAGGAGUUGGGAAUGAACUCCAGAGAGCAGUUGAAAAAUUCGAGUUGGACUGAACCAUCCUCCUCCAGAAAGGCGGGGUGGUCGAGGCUUGGAGGAAAUGCUCUCAUCCAAGAGCACAACGGCUGCUUCCCACAGCCGGCAGCAGGCCCGGCAGGUGGGGGAGGGCCAGGGAGGACCGGAGCCUUUCUGCUGCCAACGUGGGGGAGAGCGGUAGCUCCGCACGGGCACCGUUGUUCUAAAGUAAAAAUGCCUCCUGGCAAAUGGGAGACUCCAACUUGUAGGAAGAGAAAAAGCUGGAGACAGAAGAAAGUAGUCCAGAGCCAAAAAAGAGCAUUAAGAAAUCUUUUCUUAGGAACGUGAUUGUGUUUGUAUAGAGCAGUGCUGUCCAACCUAUCACUAGUCACUAGUCACAUGUUGGUAUUUAAAUUUGAAUUAAUUAACUUUAAUUAAAUGAAAAUGUCGCUUCUUCAGCCAUACUAGCCACAUUUCAAGUGCUCAGUAGCUCGUAGCUCUUUUGAACUGCACCAUUUAAUCUAGGAGAAUACGGAAAGAUAUUCUGUCUGGGCCCACCUGUUUAUGCUUGAAGUAGGGAAACACUGUUGAAGAAAUACAGUUUUACAGAUUAAACUUGGGCCAGUAGACCUUGUCGAUAAGCAGAUAGCCCCUGGCCUGCAUCCAGUGGUUCUCAAACCUCACUGCACCUCAGAAUCACCUGGAGGGCUUUGAAAACUCCCAGUGCUCAGGCCACAAAGCUGACCAAAGAAAUCAGAAUCUCUGGUGAGUGGGAUCGGCCAUCAGGUUUCUUUUAAAAAAUAAACUUUGAGAGUAGUUUUUAUGGUACUCUUGUCACAAUUAAUAAACCAAUAUGGAUACAUUAUGAUUAUGAAGGUCUACACUUCAUUCAGAUUUCCUUAGUGUUUACUUAAUGUCCUUUUUCUGUUCCAGGAUCCCAUCUGGGACAUAUACUGAUGAAAUUUGAAGUGGGGUUCACGAACAAACGACUAAGAAAGAAUUUUUGAGAUGUCUUCAGUGCGAACAGGUGAUUUUAUUAAAGUAUGGGGACAGGACCCAUGGGCAGGAAGAGCUGCACUGGGGGGUUGUGAGGAGCGACUGAUGAUAUACUUUUAGAUUUCAUGGGGCGGGGGGUGGAGGGGAGGAGUAGAGUUAAAGUUAGUUUCCAAGGAAUUUUUGGAUGCUGAAAGCAGGGUCUCACAGGACCAGAAGAUUUAGCUAUUGUCAAGAUAAGGUUGCUUUUAGUUUUUUAAGGCGUAAACAUUAAGGCAUUAAGGCAGCCAUAAACGCCUUGGGGAGUGUUACCCGCAGCAGGUGUCCUGACAUCUAUCAAUAGGCUGCAGGCCAUAAGGGAAUUUAAUUUAAACUACAUCUUUCUUGCCUUUGUUUCCCUCACCACAUACCACCUUACAUUUAGUUGUCAUGUCUCCUGGAGCUCCUCUGGAAUAUGACAGUUUCUGAGACUUUGUUCUUUAUGAUCUUGACAGUUUGGGGGGGGGUACCAGUCAAGUAUUUUGUAGAAUGAUCUUCCAUUGUGACUUGUCUGAUGUUUUCCUCAUGAUUAGACCUAGAUUAUGGGUUGUUAAGAAGAAAACCACAGUCACCAGAUGGAGUCACUUAUUCUAGGCCAAGUCACCAAACUAGGGCUUAAUAUCUAACCUAACUGUAGUUUGCACCUCCCCCAGAAGGUACUCCUAACUGGUCAGUCAGGAAUUUUCUGGUCAGUACCAGUGUGGUCAUCUGUCACAUGGGCCCUCUCUGCCUCCCAAAAGAAGAGAUAAUCUGCAUGGCAAGACCUCUUGCCAUUCCCCCUAAGGGAAGCUGAUCUUGCCAGAAACAAUCCUUUUUUUUUCUUUUGCUGGUGACUUCCUAGUCCCACCCUCUUUCUUUAAAAAACCUCCCAUUUUGUACACUCCUUUGAAUAUCUCUCUGAUUUGCUAGAUAGGAUGCUGCCCAAUUCAUGAAUUGCUUAAUAAAGCCAAUUAGGUCUGCAAAUUUACCCAGUUGAAUUUUGUCCUUUAAUGGGGUUUUGGAAGAUCACAGAUAAAGUGCCGUUUUUAUCACAUGAUGUCAAGGGUAAGUACAGGCUACCCAUAUGACUCCUCACUGUUGAUGCUGACCUGGAUGAGAAAAUGUUAGGAUUAUCUACCAUAAAAUCACUCCCAUACCGUCCGUACUCUCUGGAAGGAAGGCUCUAUGCCCAGCCCAUAUUUAAGGCAUGGGGAUUGACACUCCACCACUUUGAGGGGGGAAUGUUUACAUAAAUUAUUUGGAAUUCUACUACAUGGGAGAUUGGUUUCUUCCCUCCCAUUUAUUUAUUCAUUCACUCAUAUGAUUAUAUAAUAUGAACUCAUGUGCAUUUAUAUUAUACUUCAGGUUAUAAUCCAAUAUGUUAUUUUGUUGUUCCCAUUGUUCCUCCUGUGGCUGAGAGCUCUUUCAGUCUGUGUAUGUAUCCCCUUGACAUAAUUCCAGCAAUGUAGGAGGUUUUCUUUUGAGCACUUGCUUACUGUACAAGAUGUUCUAGGAUCACCUUAUAUAUAUCCUUAACCCUUCCUAGAACCAGCCAUUUCUCCAAGGAGCCCUGGUUCCUUUUAUUGGAGAAUGGUUAGACUAAGACCAAGUAUUAAGCGUGCUCACUGCUAUUGGGGUUCUUGCUUCUAGGUCCUCAACGGACAGAGCAAAGAAACAUAUAUAUGUGCAUGUACUCACCUGAGUAUAUACACAUGAACACACAUCUAUAAAUAUUUCUAUAUGUAGCCAUCUGCAUAUAUAUUAAAGUUAACAUGGGUCCAUACUGAUGUAGCCAACUCUCCAUUACCACAUCAAUCAUUCUAGCCUUCUCCCCUUGCUUAGCUGUACUUCCCAUUCUGACAGUGAGAAAGCUGGUUCCCACCAUUGCCAUCCAUUUACUUGAUUGUUCAAUUCCAGUAUACAUGUAUAGUGAUAUCAGGCUUGCUAACCUGCAACCAUCACCACAGUCAACUUUAGAUUAUGUUCAUUACAUGAAGAAAAAAACACACCUCUAUCUCUUAGCUAUCAUCCUUCUACACCCUGUCCCCAACCUCCCCCCAGCACUAAGCAACCACUAGUAUACUUUCUGUCUAUGGAUCCCUAGUCUGGACUUCCAUAUGAAUGUUAUCUUUAUCUUUAUUCCUCUAUACGUACUGUCCUCCCCCAGCCCCCAUCUCUGUGUCUCUCUCUUUAUAUAUAAUAUACUUGUAUAUUUCUUCUUUUUAUAUAUACUUUACUGCCUUAUUGCAAUGGCUAGGAUCUCCAGUACAAUGUUAAAUAGAAGUGGUAGGAGUAGACAUCUUUGCUUGGCAGGAAAACAAUCUUUCACUAUUAAGUAUGUUAGUUAUAGUGUUUUUUAAAGCAUGUUCUUUAUUAGAUUGAGGAAGUUUCCUUCUAUUCCAAGUUUGUUGACAGAUUUAAUCUUGAUGGAUGUUGGAAUUUUUAAAUAACUUUUUCUCUUUCUAUUGAGAUGGUCACAUGUAUUUUCUUUAUUCUUGUGCAGUGGUAAAUUACAUUAAUUAAUAUUUGAAUGUUAAACCUACUUUGCAUUCCUGGUAUAAACUGCAUUUGGUUAUGAUGUACCAUCUUUUUUUUCGUGCUUUUGGAUUGGAUUGAAUAACUUUUUUAGAGUUUUUAUAGCUAUAUUCAGGAAGGAUAUCUACCUGUAGUUUUCUUUUUUUAAAAAAAUCUUUAUCUGGUUUGGCUUCAUAGAAUGAAUUGGGAGGUCGACCCUCCUGCUUAAUUUUCUGGAAGUGUUUGAAUAGAAUUUUUAAAACAUAUUUGCUAGAAUUCACCUCUGAAGGAUAUCUGGACCUGAGGUUUUCUUUGUGGGAGGUUUUUAACAAGUAUUCAAUUUCCUUAAUAUGUUCAACACUUGUCAUUAUAUAUUUCCUCUUGGAUGUGCCUUGGUAGUCUGUCUUUUAAGAAAUUUAUUCACUUCAUCCAAGUUGUCAUAUUUAUUGGCAUAAAGUUAUUCAUAAUAUCAUCUUCUUUCAUUUUUUAAUUGAGGUAAAAUAUAUGUAAUAUACAAUCUAUCAUUUUAGACAUUUAUAAUUGUCCAGGUCAAUAGCAUUAAGUAUAUUCACACUGCUGUGCAGCCAUCACCACCAUCCAUCCCUAGAACUCUUUAUCUUGCACAACAGAAACUUUGUCCCUAUUAAAUAACAGCUUCCCUUCACUUCCUCUCCACAGUCCCUGAAGCCACCAUUGCCCUUCCUGGCUCUGUAAAUAUGACAACUCUAUUAACUAAUAUAACUCAGAUUAUACAAUAUUUGUCCAUUGUGACUGUCUUAUUUCACCUAACAUAAUGUCUUCAAGGCUUAUCUACACUGUACCAUGUAUCAGAAUAUCUGUCCUUUCCUUUCCUUUUGGAGGCUGACUAAGAUCUCACUAUAUGUAUAUUUCACUUUUUAAUUUAUCCAUUCAUCUGGAGAUGCCCACUUGGAUUGCUUCCAAUUUUUGGCUAAUGAGAGUAACGCGGCUGUGAACAUAGAUCUACAAAUACCUGUUAAUACUUGUUCAAGUCUCUGCUUUCAAUUCUUUCAGCUAUAUACCCAGAAUUCUAAAUACUGGAUCAUGCUGUAAUUCUGUUUUUAAUUCUUUGAGGAACCACCAUACUGUUUUCCACAAUACUUCCUUGUUGUACGUUUCCCACCAGCAAAGCCUCAGAGUUCCAGUUUCUCCAUCUCCUUGCCAACACGUCUUUUCUGUAUCAUUCUCCUUCCUCUGACUACUUUUAAGAUUUUCUUUUUAUCACUGGUUUCAAGCAAUUUGAUUAUGAGAUGUGUUAGUGCAGCUUUCCUCAUGUUUCUUGUUUUUGGAUCUGUUGAGUUUCCUGGCUCUGCUGGUUCAUAGUUGUCAUUAACUUUUGAAAAAUCUUGGCCAUUAUUUCUUCAAAUAGUUUUUGAAUUUCCCCCCUCCCCUCUGUCUUCUGGAAACUUCAACUGUAUAUAUAUAUAUAUAUUUGGUUGCUUGAAGUUGUGCCAUUUCACUGAUGCUCUGUUUGUUUAUUUAUGUUUUGAGUUUGUUUUCACUCUGUGUUUCGUUUUAGAUGGUAUGUAUGGCCAUGUCUUCAUACUCUUUUCAUCUGCAAUGUGUCAUCUGUCAUUAAAUCCCAUCCAGUAUAUUUUUCAUCUUAGACAUUCUAGAAGUUGGUUUGGAUCAUUUCAUAUGUCCCAUUUCUCUACUCAGCAUGUCCAAUCUUUCCUCUAGCUUCUUGAACAAAUGGAAUACAAUUAUAUAAUUGUUUUAAUGUCCUUUUCUAUUAACUUAUUCUCUAUUUAAUUUCUUUGUCAAUUUUAAUAGAUCUUUCUCCUCGUUACAGAUUGUAUUUUUCUUCUUCUUUGCCUGUCUGGCAAAUUUUUAUUGGAUGUCAAGUAUUGUCAGUUUCACCUUAUUAGAUACUGAAUAUUUUGACACUUCUAUAAAUAUUCUUUUUUUAAAGUUUAUUUACUUUGAGAGAGAGAGAGAGAGAGAGAGAGAACAAGUGGGGGGCCAGCGAGAGCGGGACAGAGGAUCUGAAGUGGGUUGCACGCUGAUAGCAAAGAGCCUAAUGUGGGGUUUGAACUCAUGAACCAUGAGAGCAUUACCUGAGCCGAAAUCAAGAGUCAGACGCUUAACCUACGGAGGCAACUAGGAGCCCCCUCCUAUAAAUAUUCUUGAGCUUUGUUCUGGGAUGCAGUUAUGUGGAAAUAGUUUGAUCUUUUCCGGUCUUGCAUGAGCAAAAGUUUUGUUAGUUGGGGCAAGAACAUGGUUUUAGUCCAGAGUUAAUUUUUGAUUACCCCUGAGGCAAGAUCCUUUUUAUUAUUUAAACCUAGGAUUUGUCAACUUCUGUACUAUUGACAUUUUGGGACAGAUAAUUUCUUAGAGUGGGGGGCUGUUUGUGCAUUGUAGGAUGUUCAACAAUAUCCCUGACCUUUACAUACUAGAUAGCAUGCACCUGAUUGGGAAACCAAAAAUGUCUCCAGAUAUUGCCAAACAUUCCCUUGGGGACAAAAUUGCCUUCCAUUGGGAAUCACAGCUUUAAACGGUGCUCCCUGAGUUAUGAGAUUUCUCACACUAACUGGACAACAGAUACUAUUUCUGCCUGUGUAUGAUCUCUGGGCACUGCUCCCUAUAAUGCUUUUUGGUGAUUGUUUUCCUGGUUUUGGGUAGUUUCAUCACUUGCACUUAUCAGUAUUUUCCCGAAUAUUUUAGAGAGACCCCCUGAAGAUCUCUGGACUUCUCUCUCUCUCUUUGCAGCUUUUCCCCCUCUGAAACUCUGUUAUAUGAAUCUAGUCACCUCUGUUUCUUCAGGCUCCCACCUUCGUGUACUUAAUUCAGAGAGGCUGCUUAGGCUCCCCCUCCCUGUGCUGAACCCUGGAAACUUUCUUCAGGUAGUAAUCCGGGGCAAUAUUAAGGCUCACCUCAUUAAUUUUUCCAUAUUUCAGGGAUAACUCUUUUUUGUUGCCUGAUGUCCAUUGUCUUAAGUGACAUAUUUUGUGUAUUUUGUCUAGUUUUUUUUUUUUUUUUUUAGCUAUUUCAAGUACCUUCCAUAAUACUUUGAAUACUUACCAAGGGUAAGUACCUUCCAUGAUACUUUGUCUUGACUAGAAACAAAAGUAACAUUUAGUAGUGUGCCUUUUUUAACUCUUAAAUAUUUGGAGCUUUUCCAGAUAUUUUUAUUUCUUUCUAAUUCAGUUCCACUCUGGCUAUAGAAAAGUCUCUAUAUGAUUUCAAUUAUUUUAAAUAUAUCAAGACAUGUUUUAUGGCCCAACAUAUGGUAUAUCCUGGUGAAAUGUCCAAUGCGAACUCAAAAAGAAUGUCCUUUGUGCUGUGAGUGGAUGGAAUGUUUUAUAAAUGUUGUGUAGGUAAAAUUGGUUAAUGAUGUCAUUCUAUUCUUUAUAUCCUUACUGAUUUUUUUUAGUAUACUUGUGUCAAUUACUGAAGGCAGAAUAUUGAAGUCUCUCAAUGUAAUUGUGGAUUUGCCCAUUUUUCAUUUUGUUUCUGUCCAUUGUUGUUUCAUGUAUUUUGACGUGCUGUUAUUGAUUUCAUACAUAUCUAGAAUUAUUAUGUCUUUUUGAUGAAUUGACCCCUUUAUAAUCAUAAAAUGUAAAUGUCCCACACUAGCUUGGGUGAUAUUCCUUGUUCCGAAGUCUUCUUUGUCUGGUGUUAAUAUAGCUAAUCAGCUUUCUUAUGAUUAGUGCUUUUGUGGUCCAGAUUUUUCCAUCCUUUUAUUUGUGUCUUCAUAUUUAAAGUGGAUUUCUUAUAUAGAUUUACAUUUAAUGUAAUUACCAACUUGUUUGUAUUUAAAUGUAACAUAUUACUAUUUGCUUUCUGUUUUCCCCACACGUUCUUUGUUCAUUUGUUCUUCCUUUCCUGACUUUUUUGAUAUUAUUAGACUAUUUUAUUAGCAUUCCAUUUAAUCUCCUCUCUUGGCUUAUUAGCUUUACCUCUUUGGGUUUUUUUUAAUGUUUAUUUUAUUUUUGAGAGAGAGAGAGAGAGUGAGUGAGAGAGAGAGAGAGAGAAAGCAUGAGUAGGGGAUGGUCAGAGAGAGAGAGACACACACAGGAUCCGAAGCAGGCUCCAGGCUCUGAGCUGGUGGCACAGAGCCUGAUGCGGGGCUCGAACUCACAAACAGUGAGAUCAUACUGAGCUGAAAUUGGCACUUAACUGACUGAGCCACCCAGGUGCCCCUAUUUGUCUAUCUUCAAAUGAUAUUAUACCCCAUUAAUACACCCUAAGAACCUCACAACAAUAUUCUUCCAUUUUCCUUCCUAUCCUUCAUGGUAUCAUUUUCAUACAUUUUCCUUCUGCAUAUGUUACUAGCACAACAAUGCAUAAUUAUUGCUGCUUCAAACAGGCACUUAGCUUUUAAAGAAAUUUAAAAGAAUGUGAAGAAAUCAUUUAAAUAUUUACCCACAUAGUUAGCCUUCCCAGUUCUCUCGAUUUCUGUGUAUAGAUCCAUGUUUUCAUCUGGUAUCAUUUUCUUCCUGCUUGAAUAGAUUUCUUUAACGUUUCUUGCAGUGCGUGUCUGAUGGCAAGGAGUCAUGGCAGAUUUUGUUUGUCUGGAAAAUUCUUCAUUUCACUUUUGUUUCUGCAAGCUCUUUCCCCUGAGUAUAAAAUCCUCAGUUGACAGUUACUUUAGCACAUUAGAGUUGUUGUGCAGUUGUUUUCUGGUUUGCAUAGCUUCUGGUGAGAAGUUUGUUAUCACUCCGAAGUAUAUUCAUGUAUCUCUCUCUUGUUCCUCUUUUACAUUUCUGUGACUCCAAUUAUGUGUGUGUUAAAUCACUUGACAUUGUCUCACAGGUUGCCAGAAACUUUCUUUAAACGAUGUCAGGCUUUGUCCUGUCCCAUUAGGCAGGAGAGUCUUGAGCAGCUCUAGGGGCUGUGGGACCCCAGUGUUCAGAUGGGAUCCUUCUUGCUGAUUGCUUCUCUUCCACUGUAAUAUUAGCCUCUCAAUAAUCAUGACAGCAUCUUUAUUAUAAUUAUUUUAUUAAAUUUUUUUAAUGUUUAUUUAUUUUUUUUGAGAGAGAGAGGGAGACAGAGCAUGAGUGAGGGAGGGACAGAGAGAGGGAGACACAGAAUCCGAAGCAGGCUCCAGGCUCUGAGGUGUCAGCACAGAGCCUGAUGCAGGGCUCGAACUCACAAACCACAAGAUCAUGACCUGAGCCGAAGUCAGCAGCUUAACUGACUGAGCCACCCAGGUGCCCGUAUUAUCAUUAUUUUAGAGCCAGGAAUUUUCCUGACUUUUCUUUCCCUUCAGUGUGUCUUACUGAAGUAACGUUAAGGUGUUAAGCAAGUUAAACAUGUUUGCAAUUGGUCACUUCCCCAUCUGCCAACACAUUUGUUUUACUGAUAUUUGGGUGUUUGUAUGUGUUUGGAUAUAGAUGUAUUUUUAAUAACAUAAAAGUUAUGGUAGUAAUCAAUAUUAACACUAGAAAUUUCAAAAAUACAGAAAAAGGGAAAAAAGGAAAAAAUAGAAAUUAUCCAUAUCUCCCACUCGCAGAUAGAGAUAAUUGCUGCAAACCACUUGAUAUGCAUAUUUCUUAUACAUCCUUCUAUCAUAACUGUUACUUUUUAAAUUAAAAAUUGGGAGUAUGUUGGGCAUCUAUUGUGCAACCUACUCUUUUUGCAUAAUAUAUUAUGGAUGACUUUGCAUUGAUUAAGUAUUCUAUUUUAUUUACUCAACAGAGUACUUACUAUAUUUCAGGCACUGUUAUAAGCACUUUAUAAAUAUUAACUCAUUUACUCCUCAUGACAUCACUACUGGUAGAUAUUAACAACAUCCCCCAUUUCAUAGAAGAGGACACUGAGGCAUAGAGAGGUUUAGUAAUUUGCCCAAGAUCCUCUAGUUAACCUUGUAAAUCAUGGGGCCAUAUUCAAGCUCAAGCAAUCCAAAAUAUCAUUUUAUUUCUGUUUUUAUGUAAUCUAGUUUCCGGUAUGUUUUUACUAAGGAUCCUGACACACCAGUAAGGCCCAGUUGAAGUAGUCUCCAUUGCACCAUGAAUGGCUCAUUCCCUCCACUGCCUACCAUCCAUUUCCUUUCCUCAUAGUUCCCUAAUUUCUUCUUAGGGACUUUUCUUCCACUGGGUUCAUGCUUGGUUGAUGAUAAAUCUGGAUUCCUGCCCUCCUCCUUCUCACUGCCCUGGCAAACCUGAGGGCAUAUAUAUGACCUAAGCAUGACUAAUCGUAAGCUGUUCCCUAGGACUUCGAUUUUUGGGUGUUUUAAAUUCAUUUGUUUCACUAUAAUGUCAGCUUCACACGGACAGGGAUUCUUAUUGGUUUUGUUCCUGGCUGUAUUUCCAGUACUUAGGACAGUUCUUGGCAUGAUUUAGCACAGUGCUAGUCACAGAGUAGAUGUAAAUUGGAGCUAUCACCACCACCAUCAUGAUCAUCAUCAUCAUCUAUCUCCCUCUACUGGAAUGGAAACCUCAUGAGAGUGGGGGUGUUGUCUGUUUUGCUUACUGCUGUAUCCCUAGCAUGUAGAACUAUGCCUGGCACAUGGUAAGUACUUGUAAAUAUGUAUUUGAUGAGUGAAUGGAUUCCAGUGGUGGUAUAUGCUUGGGUGAAGCUGCUGAGUGGUUCCAGACCCUCUGGAGCACCCUGGUUCUUGGCUCUUUCAAGUUUGGUUCUUUAGCUUUCUUAUGAUCUCUUGAACUUUUCUACAGGCUUCCAGUACAUUUCCAUUUGUGUGUGUGUGUGUGUGUGUGUGUGUGUGUGUGUGUGUGUAAGUUAUCCAGAAUCUUUUUUGGUUGCUUACAAUCAAAGACCUCUAGCUGAAAACCAACUUAUAGGAAUGUCUCUCUCUCAAAUCUGGAGCAUUAUGUUGUCAAUAUCAGUGGAGAACCAAGGACACGUGGUCUGAUAUAUGAUCUUUGUGAGUUGUUAAAGUUGGUGUUGCUAUGAUUACUGACUUGACUGUCACUAUUUGCUGAAAUAUUGGCACUUGAAGGGCUAGAAGGACAAUUAAAGGGUUUGUGGGGAUACUAUCCAGUAGGGUAUUUAAAGUCAAGAUAGUCCUGGGAAAAAGGGAGCCAGAUGCUGACAUUCUUUCUCAUGUACCUGGUUGCUGUCUGUCUCUAGAGUGAUUGCACAUUUGUUAAAGGUAGUCGUUAUCUUGUCUUGAGGGCAGAGAUCCAUGACUUAUAUUUUGGAUGUGUAGUAGAUAAUAAAACUUAGCAUCAGAAGACCUCAGCGUGAAUCUAUUCCUCCUACUUAUUGGCUUGAGCAGUGUGAAGUCCAUUCUUCAAGUAGCUCUGGUGAUACAGCACCAGUGAUAUGAAGGAAAAUGCCAAGUCCUUUCUGUGAGUGCCUCACACUUUUUUCAUGAUACCAUUCCUGAAGAAGUCACAAAGUGUUUCACUUGCAGAUCAACGUUAAUUUAAUAAGCACCACCCCUUUAUUUUCUAUGGUUGCUUAAAUAGCUCAAAGGGGCCAACUACAGGCUCUUAGAUGAUUUGUAACUAGGCAAGGAGGCUGCUUCAUCAAAGGCUCCUUAGUGGGAAAGUAGUUGCUAAAAAUCCACAAAAAAUUGAUUCUUUCUUUCCAUCUAGGUGUAUACCCCAGCAGGAUCUGUAAGUCCCUUUUCAUCAUUAUUAUUCAGCUUAAUCUGAAGUCAUUUACUAGCUCCCUUCCUUCGGAUUACGGCCAUCUGGGCUGUUAGCAUUUCCUCCAAAAGAUUAGUAAUCAAUUAGUGUGCAAAAAGGAUUUAUAAAUAUGUAAGGACUGUGUUUCCCUGGGCUAAGUGGGUGACAUUAUGUUCCUGUGCCUCAUCUUUUUGUGCUUCUAGACACAUCAUCAUUUCCCAAAAUAAAGCAAGUAAGUGCAAACUCAGUGAGCAAAUAAAAUCUUUCUUUGGUGGUUUUCUAGGACUAGUGUAGGAGGCAAAACCAGAUUUCCUGGUAGAUGAGUUUGGGAGAAUGCUGUCAUAAUGCCUUGAAUAGAAGGCUUGAGGCCAAGUAUGUAAUCGAGCAAAACUCACUCUAACAUUACUGUAUUAGUAGGAGCCCAUAAUCCCUUCUGUGGGAGUUUACAGUUGCAAGGCUAUUAGCAGGCCAUAGUUCCUCUAAUUGCAAUGGGACAUGCAAGACCACAUCUUAGCCACUUUGGGGACAGUUAUGCCAGGAACAUUGCUGUCCACUCACCAUCACAUUGACCAUCUUCUCGGACAAUGCUGCCCGUCUUAGGAAGCAGCUGGCUUAGAAGUUGUUCUUGUGUGACUUGUUAGCUACCAACUUGAUGACCUUGCUGCCAAUCAUUACAAACCCAAACAUUUAGUUUGUGUCACCUCCAGCUCAAGGUUUCUUAGAUUCUCUCUGGCAGAACACAGAUGCUAUUCCCUUUUACACUUUCAAUGCAGAGACUGGGAGCUGGACAAAUUCAGACUGUAUCACAGACCUGUGAUUUUUCCAAGCACUUCUUUUCCACCCCAGGAACUCAUCUGCUCCAGAGCUUGACAUCUGGAGUGGAGAUCUUUAGGAGAAGCAAGGUGGUGAAUUACUGUGCACUCUUGUUUGAGCUUCAUGGGAUGGGAGGGAUCUUUGGAGGAGCCCAGAGAAGGCUUGGGCUUGCACUCAGCAAAGUGGUUAGUAAAAGAUUUGGUCUCUAACAUUAUCACACUUCCUCUUGUCUCUACCCUUCUGAUUGUAUAGAUACCUGGUCUUCCAUUUCAUUCAGUAAGGAAAGGUACCACACUGGCUAUAAAGCAGCAAAGUGAAGGAAGAGAGGAAACAUGCGUGUGAAAAUCUCAGGAAACUUGGAGUCAUGUUUCUUUUGGUUGUAGGUGACAGAAAGAGGAUGAUGAUUGAGUUUAUGAGCCCUCUGAAGAUCUGGAAACAAUGAAUUAUGAAGUCAACUUGAAGAAGCUAGGGACAAUUCAUGUAGAAGAGGGAAGGCUCAGGUAGGGGUGAUUAAGGUGGUGUGGGGACAUGAGAACCAUCUUCAUAUGAUGAACAAGAGGAACUAGAUUUACGGGCUGCUGUGGAGGUGGAAUUAAUAGCAAUGCAGGGGCAAGGGAAGGAGUAUCACAUAGUGGAAAGUUCAUUGGUCUCAGAAUCAGGAGACCUAGACUCUGGUACUGGUUUUGUCUUUAUCUGAAUCUCCUCCUCGUUAGGGGUGGUGAAGCCAUGGUUUGGAUUGGCCGGGCAAUGACUCAGAUAAGAUUACUGGGAUUGUGGGUUGGAGACAGUGGAUCCAAAGGUAUGGGCCAGGGUGAGGAGGCAAGUCUAAGUUCUUUACAGAGAGCUAGUGAUGAAAUCCAAGCCUCAGUUUGAAGGUCCAGAGGUAGGCAAGAGUCACGAGGAUAUUAGAGCAGGAGCAGGUCAGGAAUAAGCUGGGGCAGGUGGGUUUUGGAGAAUGGUAAAAACAUGAGUAGGUGCUUUCUGCUUGCCUCUAGGUAUGUGAGGAGCCUGGUGGGGUGCACCAGUUUAGAGGGCUAGUGCAAGUCAUUAUCUAGCCAUGAGACUUGGGCUGACUGUCCUCCCAUAUCUGGGCCUCAGGUAUCUCUGGUGUGAAGUAAGGGGGCUGCAGUCAUGUCCCCCUCUGGUUUUAUGAGUUACAGGAAAGAAAUCUUGGGUGUUCUAUUAGAACAAGGUUUUCUGCCAAUUAGAGCAGUCCGCUUAUGGAUCUGGCAACCUUGGCAAGUAGAGGGAAUUCCAGAUCUAUUAGCAAGAUGAGGAGGCCCAAAUUCUGUUCUUCCACCUCUUUAAGGUAAUAGCUCUUCUAGAACGGGUGAGAACACGCCCUGCAGGUACUGUCUUUCAGUAGCAUCUGCCCCUUCAUGUUUGGCUGGCUUCUCCCAGUCAGUAGAGCUCUCACAGGAAUCGGAUGUUCUCUAUUUUGCCACAGUAGAAAGCAAUAUAAACACUCUUCAGCUAUUCACUGGUGUGAGUGUUUUUUGUUGUUGUUGUUUUUGUCUUCUUUUUGGAAAAUCUCCAUGGCUGCGCCAUUUGGCUAUCUGAAGCUUCUGCAUGCAUCGCAAACACCAUCUGUUAUAACCCGAGACACACAUACUGCAUGUAAUUAGUAAUAUAAGCCAGCUUUGCAGCUGUACAUGGCAGGGGAAAUUGACACAAGCACAACUUCCUCUGUAGGACUGAUAUGGUGAAUGGGGCAUUUGUGGUUUGUCUGAGCUUUGGUGUUCAUCAAUUAAAGAUUUCUUUUGGCUGCUGUGGAGAUACUGCUUAUUUGAUUAGAAAACUUGCCUCGAAGAAAACGACUAGCUUCUUCUUAGAGCUGUUGACUACACAUUGAGGAGGAAGUCCAACCUGGGGGCUAUUUCAGGAGGCCUCACGAGAAUUCCUCGGCCAGGGUAAGCAUAGGUGUAGGUGCAGAAGGCGUGACUCUCUCUUUUCAUCUCUGCCAUUGACAUCCUCCAGAGGGGUCCCACGAGGUCACUGAGCUGGCAUACUCCUCUCCCCAGCUUACUGUAAUGACCUCUCAGCCUUCCUGUUGCACCCUUACCUUUUGUGCACAUGACUACUGAAGCCUCCCAAGAGGCAGGGGAGAGUCUAAUUUACUACUAUUUGGGACAAAACCUAAGCUCAGGAAUGACCCAGCCAGUAUCAUAAGAGGCACCAUUGAGACAGGAACCCAGACUUUAGGCUCUUGCCCUCUGUCCCCUACCCCCAUCUUUCCUUUACUCUCGCUCUGCUGCACCAGCCCUUUCAGCCCUUGGCUUGUGGGAGGUUCAAAGGGCAUCCCAAGGAAUAGGUUAUGAGGGCUUUAUAAAGCAGACAAAAUCCCACAGGUGCCAGCCAUGAGCGUGUGCCUUGGGGGUGGUGGAAUAAACCUUCCCACAGAUGGAUGUCCAUUAGUGAACUCUGGCUCCCGGCUGCCUCUCUAACAUUAGAGAAUUUUGCUCCUAGUUCUUGCUGAAACAGCUGUGCAGAGAGACAGCCAUGGGCACUCCUUAAAGGCGCAGAUGUGUGUUUCUUUGUUCCUGUACCCCAAGGGCCCAGCUCAAGACCCAGCUUCCCAUGUGACCAAGAGGGCACUGAGUAUCAAACAGUCAAUGGCGUAGAGGAGUGCCUACUCUGUGCCAGACCCUUUGCUAGCUGGGGGACUAAGGAUACAACCAAGCAAGACUGAGACACAGUCCACCCCUCAUGGAGUGAACAGUCUAGCUGAGGGGCUCAACUAUAAAUAAGUGAACAAAGACAUGACUACAGGCCAUGAUGAGUUCUUGGAAUGAAACGAAUUUGCACAGCUAUAGAGAGCCGUGGAGCAGUUACUCAGUGCUGGGUGCUCUUGCCUCUUGGCAUUGAAGUUGAGAAUAAGGCACACGAAGGAGGGAACCAUUCCAAAAACUGGGGAAAAAUACUUCAGAUAAAGGAACAGCAUGGGUUAUACCCCACUACUAUGCUCAGAAAUAUUCCUGUUGGAGAGAGAUGUGACAAGAGGGUAGAAAGAUAUGCCCUUGACUUUCAGGGGGAGGCUAGAAUCCAUGGUACCAAAUGCUUAGUGGCCUUUGGGCAUGGAUGUUGUGGGCUUUCAGUAGUGCCUCACCACAUGCUGCUUCAUAUGUACAUUGCCCGGUGGUCAACGAGGUCUCAACUCAAAUGACGCCAAGGUCAUCCAUAUGGACAGCUGUAUCCCAUUAAUAAUCCAAACAGGAUUGCAUUUGGUGUUCCUCAAGGGCCCUCAUAGCCCUAAGAUCUUUAAGGACUUCAAGUGUCCCUUGAGCUCACUCGGUUCUGCUGCCCUUGAUAAUAUCUCCACACUGAUUCAUGGUAGAGCAAAAGUCAUCUGGCCAACAAAUUUGGCAACGCAUAUCAAUAACCACAGAAUAUCCAGGAAUUUCACUUUUGGAAAAUAUAUUCUGAGGAAAAGAAUUCAAACUAUUUACAUGCACAUUGCAGUGUUGUCCAAAUGGGAAAUUUGGAAGCUAUGCAGUGGCUAACAAUAAAAGAUUGGAUAAUUUAAAAAUGCUAGUAAAAAUAACAUCAGCUAACGUGUACUAAGGAGUUACCACUGGCACUGUGCUAAGUGUUUUAUAGAAUUAACUCGUUAUGCCUCAGAACAACCCUGGUGAUGGGAACCAGGCUAUUGUCGUUCCUGGUUUGUAGAGGAGAGCACUGAGGCUCACAGGUUGAGUCACUUGUGCAAAAGCAAGGAGCCAGUGAGCAGUCAAGUUGCAAUUUGAACCCAGCUCCAUCUGAUCCCAAAGCCCAGGCCUUUUAAUAAAGUUUAUUUAUUUAUUUUUGAAAAAGAGAGAGAGAGCAAGUGAGCGAGAGCCCAUGUGUAUGUGCAUGAGUAGGGGAGGGGCAGAGAGAAUCCCAAGCAGGUUCCUUACUGUCAGGCCAAUGAGGGGCUCGAACCCACCAACCAUGAGGCCAAGUUGGACGCUUAACCGACUGAGCCACCCAGGCACCCCCCCUCCAAAUCUCAGGCUUUUAAGUACCAUAUAUGGUGAACUUUCUGUCUGAAGAUGCUCAUAAUUAUAUGUGAGAAAGGUGAGAUAUGAAAAUGUAGAUCUGAUUUGAUUACAACCUUGUAAAACAAGCAGCACUGAUUUAUAACCAAACAGGCGGAAGGAAAUAUAUCAGUGUUAACAUUGGUCAUUUCAGGAUGGAAACUCAACUGUCUUUUUCCACUUCUCUGUCUUUUCCAGAUUUUUCUAUAAUGAGUACUUAUUACUCAUAUAAUAGCAAUUCUGCUAAUGAACUUAUCAUCGAACAUGGGAACUGCAAAGGAAACCUCCUUCAUCUUUUCCCACCAAAGCAGCCUCUAUUCCAUUUUAUUUGCCUUUGGCCCACAGACCAUAAACCUCAUCUGUGUAUAGUGGAUGUGGACCUGAAAGAAAAAUGAAGGACGUGCUACAGGUGUUGGCCUUCAAGUUCUUGCAAGAGGAAGUGACACAUAG